rnacentral:rRNA from 1 species
GAUGAACGCUGGCGGCGUGCCUAAUACAUGCAAGUCGAGCGAACAGACGAGGAGCUUGCUCCUCUGACGUUAGCGGCGGACGGGUGAGUAACACGUGGAUAACCUACCUAUAAGACUGGGAUAACUUCGGGAAACCGGAGCUAAUACCGGAUAAUAUAUUGAACCGCAUGGUUCAAUAGUGAAAGACGGUUUUGCUGUCACUUAUAGAUGGAUCCGCGCCGCAUUAGCUAGUUGGUAAGGUAACGGCUUACCAAGGCAACGAUGCGUAGCCGACCUGAGAGGGUGAUCGGCCACACUGGAACUGAGACACGGUCCAGACUCCUACGGGAGGCAGCAGUAGGGAAUCUUCCGCAAUGGGCGAAAGCCCGACGGAGCAACGCCGCGUGAGUGAUGAAGGUCUUCGGAUCGUAAAACUCUGUUAUUAGGGAAGAACAAAUGUGUAAGUAACUAUGCACGUCUUGACGGUACCUAAUCAGAAAGCCACGGCUAACUACGUG